GUCGGUGGCUGAGAUCACAAAAGGAGCUACCUGGUUGUUCUCCUGUGUGCAGCCCACCCCACCCCCAUUCCUUGGGAAGGUUCUGGGAAUUGAGUGGAAUGAGGUUUUUCUUUUUUUUUUUUUUUAAAUCAAAUGCUGGUGAGGUCACAGCUAACUGUGUUCUGUGCACAGAGGAAAUCAAUGAGAUCCAGGUGGUGAGUGAGGAGGCGCCUCAGAGGGACAGGCUGGGGCUGCCGCAGGAGCCAGGCCGGGAGCAGGUGGUGGAAGACAGACCUGUGGACGGAAGAGGCUUCGGGGGAGCCAGAGAACUGGGCCAGACCCCACAGGUGCCAGCUGCCCUGUCAGUGAGCCGGGAAAAUCCGGAGGUGGAGGGCCCCGAGCGAGACCAGCUCGUCGUCCGCGAUGGACAGGAGGAGCAGCAGGAAGCUGCCAGGGAAGGGAGAAACCAGCAGAAACUGAGAGGAGAAGAUGACUACAACAUGGAUGAAAAUGAGGCGGAAUCUGAGACAGACAAGCAGGCAGCCCUGGCAGGGAAUGACAGAAA